UGCAAAAAGUGUCAAAUGUACACCUUGAAAGAAGCGCAAGUCACUUUGAAUUAAAAACAUCUGCAAUAUUCAUAAAUGUAGAUUAAAUACAUUGAUAGCAAUGGUGAUUUAAAAAGUCAAUCUAUCAUUCAAGCUAAAGUGUCUAACAGGUUUUUUUUUUCUUUUCUUUUUUUUUUUCAGAGGCAAAGUGAGGACACACGCCACAUCCAGCGUUGCAACUUUUCAUUAGUUUAACUUAAGAUAACUCACUUGAUAAGAAAUUCAAAUGAAGUCAUUAAAAGUCUCCUCUGGGUUCAGACCAACAAAGGUCUCAUUUGUUUCUUAUCCUCUCUUAACCCAUUCUAAGAACAGAACAAAUCCUUGUGACAAGAAUGCCAUUGCCCUGGAUCUGGAUCUGGAAAACCUGGAUGUUUGGACUCUCAUUCUGACAGCACCCAUUGGAUCCAUUGGGCUGUGAUAUUAUUGGUCCUCUCCAUCAGUGGCUGUCACACUCUCUGUCCUCCCUAUUGGACCGGCACUAUCUGGAGGAUUGCACAGAGCUGGAAAACAAUAAAUGAGUGUCUAUCAUCUUGAGAUGAUAAGCAUCUGGUGCUAGAGGUAAUAAUGAGAUGAUCUGGGGCCUUCAGGCACUUGGCAGAAUUUCACCCAAAAGUAUAUGAGCACACAGACGGCAGAUUCUGAUUUUGCACAAAGGGUUUAUAAAAACAGCACAUAUGCUAGAACCAGUAUCCAGCAUUAGACUUUGAAUGUAAACCCUUCUCCUCCCCAAAAUGACAAUUUUUUAUUAUUCAUGACCUCAUCUGAAAUUAUUUGUUGCCAAAACACUAUUCUUUUGUUUGUUUUUACUUUUACACAGCAAUCAACCCUGUCUAUUAUUAGUUUUAGUUGUUCUGCCAAGUGCAAUGUGAGAGGUGAUAUAUUAUGUGUGCAUUGUUGUGUUUUCAUAAAUAUUAUGCAUCUCGGUUUCAAUGAGUUAUCUUUUCGGACAGUGUGGAUUUUGUGAAUCACAUCAAGCUCUUUUAUUUCUGUGGUUUCUGUGAGUCUUAUAAAAAGUCCUAAUUCAGCUGUUCCACCAAUUUAGGCCAACAAAUAUCUUAAAUCGGAGUAAAAAGCCAAAAAUUCAUAAAGUCAUAGAAUUU